rnacentral:rRNA from 1 species
CAGUAGCCGCGGGAAUACAGAGGAUGCAAGCGUUAUUCGGAAUGAUUGGGCGUAAAGCGUCUGUAGGUGGCUUUUCAAGUCCGCCGUCAAAUCCCAGGGCUCAACCCCGGAACUGCCUUUGAAACUAGAUAGCUUGAAUCUUGGAGAGGCGAGUGGAAUUCCGAGUGUAGAGGUGAAAUUCGUAGAUAUUCGGAAGAACACCAGUGGCGAAGGCGACUCGCUGGACAAGUAUUGACGCUGAGGUGCGAAGCGUGGGGAGCAAACAGGAUUAGAUACCCCAGUAGUCCCUGUCUCUUAUACA